GUUCUUACUUUGGUAGCACAUAUACUAAAAUUGGAAAGAUACAGAGAAGUAAUCUUGGCCCCUGCGCAAGGAUGACACACAAAUUUGUAAAGUAUUCCAUGUUUUU